CUCCGAAUCAAAUCAAAGACAUAUACUAUGCCUUUCCAGACAUUAUUUAUACUAGAUCAAUAGCCAAAGCUAUUGUGUGAACAUAUACUAUACAGGCCUAGGCUAGGCAACGAUUUUUAACAAACAGGAGAGUGGCAUCGUAGCCUUGAGGAAGGAGAUCGCUUGUGGACGUUGGGUGAUUUUUGUGCCAAGCGCAGCCUCCGCCAGCCACACCCUCACGUGCGUGCAACUGUGCGGGACUCUAUUUCUCACCAGAGCGGUCUGUACGCUUGGCCAUGCGUGCUUGUCUGUCGCGAGCACCCGCAGCAUCAGCAACACAAAGAGGGUCGAUGAGCUGUUAGAUUGGAGAUACAAGGCGCCGCCGGCAACUUCAAGGCCGAUUUGCGGGGGAAACGAGAUCACUUAUAAGAGAGGCGACGGCAGGGCAAAUUCCAGCCGUUCCGACGCCUGUUUGGAAGGAGGAAGAAGAGGGAGGCAGCGGAGAGGGGCUUUGAUGCAGUAGAGCUGAAGGCUAGCUUCUCCACAGGGGAAGUGUGCAACGGAGUCGUCUCAGAUGAUGAGGAGACCAAUCAACAUCUGAGGUAAACAGGACAUUUAUGCAUUCUGUUUGGUGCUGUGAAAUACUCCAGCAGUCAAGAUUGCAUCUAUACAUUGCUCAUAAUGUUGUCAUAAAGAGUUGAACCGCCAUUGCAGUUCCCCCCCCCCCCCCCCCCUAUUGCUUGUACAGGCCUCCACCUCAAAAUGAAACAAACUCUAAACACAGGUCUUAUCAAUAAUUUAGUCUGCAUGGCCUUGAGCACAUUAUGUCUUUAAUCCCUUUCAGUAAGACACACUUACCCAGACCACAGAGAAAGCCUAUGAUACUAUUCCCACGAAGACCCAACUUAUAUCCCACAUAUACACAGUGCCCUCAGAAAGUAUUUACACCCCUAGACUUUUUCAACAUUUUGUUGUUUUACAGCCUGAAUGUAAAAUGAAUUUCAAUUGAGAUUUUGUGUCACUGGCUUACACACAAUAACCCAUAAUGUCAAAGUGGAAAUAUGUUUUCAGAAAUGUUUACUAAUUCAUUUAAAAUGAAAAACUGAAAUGUUUUGAGUCGAGUAUUCACCCAUUUUGUUAUAUGGAAAGCCUAAAUAAGUUCAGCAGUAAAAAUGUUCUUAACAACUCACGUAAUAAGUUGCAUGGACUCAAUAAUAGUGUGCAAUAAUAGUGUUUUUCAUGAUAUUUGAAUGACUACCUCAUCUCUGUACCCAACACAUACAAUUAUCUGUAAUAUUCCUCAGUCGAGCAGUGCAUUUCAAACACAGAUUCAACCACAAAGACCAGGGAGGUGUUUUACAGCGCCUCGCAAAG
rnacentral:lncRNA from 1 species